AUGGGCCUCUCGCGUCGGUUCCUGAAUCUAAUCGUGGACAACCGCUUCCCAGGCGCUGUAUCGCUGCUCUCGAUCGACUUGAGGCGCCACAAGCUGUUCAACACAACAACACCUGCUGAUCUGCCAUUGAUCAACAGAUCUGUAUCUGAAUCAGAACGGCCGCCAUGUGUAGCCAAUGCUAACAAUCAUCAGAAGAAGAGGAAGAAGAAGACAGUAAAGAUGAGGAUGCUUCAUCUUCCCGCGCCAACCAUCGACCUUGAAGCCUCAUCUAGGGGCUAUAGCUGGAACAUCAAGUGCUCACCGCUCACAGAUCGCAAGCUGCUCUGCACGGACAACUAUGGCCGCCAUGUCCUCUUCAACUCCGAGGCGCGCCAAGUGGAGGACUUGCCCUUCCUCAACGAGCCCAAGAAUUCGACCUUCUCCAUCUUCAUCCCUGGUGCGGCUACUGACACCAAUGGCUGUGACGACAAUGGUGGUGGCGGCAGCAGCAUCUACAUCAUGGAGCGUUGUCCCAGCCAUGAACAAGAACAGCGGUUGCUGAGCGGUCAAUUUGAGGCAUUUGUCCAUGGAAGGCACAACACCUGGUACAACCAACUACUGCCUUCACCGCCAUUCAUCUACGACCCCAAGUACAAGCGACCCAAGAUCAGCUCAUAUGCAGUGCUUGUUGACGACUGUGGCAGAUCACACAUCUGCAUUUCAGUGGAUCAUGUUGGCACCUAAUGCUUGGACACAGUGAAACACACCUGGAUCAGAGUUGGGGAUUGGACACUACCCUUCACAGGCAAGGUUGAGCAUGUGCCAGAGCUGAAGUUGUGGUUUGGCAUUUGCACCAAUGACUGGAAAUUGGGAGCUAUUGACCUCUCCACUAUUAUCUCCACAGCCACCAUGGAGGACUUCCAGCCACAGCUAGUAGGCACUUGGAAGGAGCUUGAGGCACCUCAACACUGGAGUGAGAUGCGUUGUCCUCAGCUUGCCAACCUGGGCUCAGGCAGGUUCUGCAUCGCAAGGUUCUUCCACACUUGGACUACUCCCAUGGAACCGAACUCAUUUGGUUAUGAUUCAAUUAAGCACUCUUUUACUGUCUUGACCGGUACGGAUGUAGUGCCGUGCGUCCAUGAUGGCAAUGGGACUGGCAAUGGCAAUUACGCCAAUGGCAGCAAUGGGAAAGUGGAACUCCGAAUGAUCAAGCACAACUCGAAAAGCCACAUAUCUUAUGGCAUAGAUGGUACAAUUAGGCUAGUGUUCUGAAUAACGUACUUUGGUUUGCUUCCAGACCCAUGUAUUAUCUUAUUAUCCAUCAUUGUCGUCUGAAUAGUUAGGGGACUUUGUUCUAUAUGAGACAAUUUGGUGGUAUCACUUUAUCCUAUGCAUUUUCAUUACGAAUUUGUAGUAUUUGUGCAACUAUUGUAUUUAGAUCAGCUUGUCCAGUUCCUUGUAUUUGUUUGGAAAACAAAUAACAGUGAUCACAUAAUGCUAUGAAUUGGCUUAGUGAUCUGGCAUGUUUUUUUUUUUCAAUCAAGGGUUAGUUGAUGAAGGAUCCGUGAAGUGGUCUGGACAUAAAGCUUGUCUAGAUCCAUCAUACUACGGUGUACGGCGUGUCAGCGUGUGGCUGCAUGGCGGCAUUCCCUUCUCGUAUUAUUAUUAUUAUAUGACUCUCACGAUCUCAGCCUUUGAGGCACCCCGGCCCUCUCAUCUUCACUAUUCCUAGUUCUUCAAAUUUCUUUGUGGUUCCUUCUCUUCUAGUUUUAAAUAUAACCUCUAGGUUUCUUGACCACCAUAUAAUCUGUUCAACUUCUAAUUGAUGAAAAUACACAUGAUGAUGGGAGUGGCUGAAGGCAUUACCAUUUCUUUUUGUUCCAGACGAAAACAUGGCUUCAUUGAAAUUUCACAAUAAACAAUUCAAUUGCCCUGGAAACUCUGAAAUUAUGUGUUCCAAGCAGGGGCCAAACUGAGUACACAAGAACCAUUCCAUUCAUAAGAAAAAAGAAAAAACAAGUUCAUACCCCUAAUAGGCAGGAUACACUGGGCACAAAGAAAUAUUAACAUCCAUGUUACUAACAAGUAAGCGUGCUGUGAAAACCAAUGCACAUUUACACAAGACAUUCUGGACGCGAUUGUACACUACAGGCAAGAACAGCAAUCGACAUGAUGGCCAGAAAGUAUAUCCUAUUAUGAGUUUUUACCUGCGUUGCUUCGGCGCAAUACUGCAGAUCAAAUGUCAUACUCCUUCCAUCCCGAAAGAACUCAACCUAGGAGGGGUCACAUCCCCUCUUGGAUUCUGUCCAGAUUCGUUGUACUAGGAGGGGUCAUCCCCUCGGUUGAGUUUUUCUGGACAGAGGGAGUACGCAGGUGACACACAUUCCAAGA